rnacentral:rRNA from 1 species
AUUGAAUGCUGGCGGCAGGCUUAACACAUGCAAGUCGAGCGCGCGGCGGACGGGUGAGUAAUGUCUGGGAAACUGCCUGAUGGAGGGGGAUAACCACUGGAAACGGUAGCUAAUCCCGCAUACCAUCAGAUGUGCCCAGAGGGGAUUAGCUAGUAGGUGGGGUAAUGGCUCACCUAGGCGACGACCCCUAGCUGGUCUGAGAGGAUGACCAGCCACACUGGGACUGAGACACGGUCCAGACUCCUACGGGAGGCAGCAGUGGGGAAUAUUGCACAAUGGGCGCAAGCCUGAUGCAGCCAUGCCGCGUGUAUGAAGAAGGCCUUCGGGUUGUAAAGCACUUUCAGCGGGGAGGCGUUACUGGCAGAAGAAGCACCGGCUAACUCCGUGCCAGCAGCCGCGGUAAUAC